rnacentral:hammerhead_ribozyme from 1 species
AUCUAGAGGACGACUCCAAAAUAGGACGAAAUGCGCAUCCUGGAU